rnacentral:rRNA from 1 species
UACAGAGGGUGCAAGCGUUGUUCGGAAUUACUGGGCGUAAAGCGUGCGUAGACGGUCAAGUAAGUCGGGUGUGAAAGCCCCGGGCUCAACCUGGGAAUUGCAUUCGAGACUGCGUGGCUAGGGUGCGGAAGAGGGAAGCGGAAUUUCCGGUGUAGCGGUGAAAUGCGUAGAUAUCGGAAGGAACACCAGUGGCGAAAGCGGCUUCCUGGUCCAGCACCGACGUUCAGGCACGAAAGCGUGGGGAGCAAACAGG